UACGUUUCGGGUCGAAAGCAGCGUGAAUUCAAAGGAAACCGUGUCCCCAGCAGUAAAAUGUUCCAGCAGCAUGAGAUGUCACAUUGAACAAGUAACAAGUAAAUUAUAGUCAUUGCUUAUGUAAAUAUAUUUCACAGCAAAAAUACACAAAUGACAUGGUUCUGAGAACAUCCAUGGUGAAGACUUUUCCUUUAGAUGCAGGAGAUCAAAGGCCAUGUCGGAGGUGAACCUGUCGGUAUUUUCAGACGUCGACUCAGAAAAAGAUCCGCAUUUGGACGGAACCACCAAGAUACCUCAAGUCAGCUGUAGUUAUUAUGCCAGGCCACAAGAUGGUGCUGUGAUUUUAGAAUGUCCUGCGAUGUGCAUGUGUUUUUCACCUUUAGCUUCCACCUAAUCGUAAAUAACAACUCGUCUCCGUCUCCCAACAAAGUGCUCAUGGAAAAUAUUCCUCAUCAAGAAUUAUGCUAAGCUAAACUGACGGGAGCGGGUGGAGUUGCAUGACUAGAGGCUGUCCAGCAUCUUAAAGGGGUCGAGCAUUUCUUCCAGAGGAGUGCUGAUUGGAGGUUGGACUUCUUACCUGCUGCACAUCCAGAGGGAUGACCAUGUGGGGUAUCACGGCGGGCAGGCUGCUCUGCCGCCCGUGCUUCCAGGCCUGCA